rnacentral:rRNA from 1 species
AUCCGAAACGACUUUCGGCAACGGAUAUCUCGGCUCUUGCAUCGAUGAAGAACGUAGCGAAAUGCGAUACUUGGUGUGAAUUGCAGAAUCCCGUGAACCAUCGAGUYUUUGAACSCAAGUUGCSCCCGAAGCCGCUAGGCUGAGGGCMCGCCUGCCUGGGUGUCSCA